AACACAAUCACUAUAACGUUAGCCCUUGUUGAGAAAAUAAAUUUAAAAUAAGCUAGUUUUAAAACUUAACAUGUCUUGAUUCAAAUGGCCUAAUUGUGGUUUUGAAUUUACUAAUGGAUUCUGGCCUAUUGACUUAUGUUAGAUGUAGUUCCAGCAGAUGGUUUGCUA